rnacentral:rRNA from 1 species
UACGGGGGGGGCAAGCGUUGUUCGGAAUUACUGGGCGUAAAGGGCGCGUAGGCGGUUCGCUAAGUUGAAUGUGAAAACUCUGGGCUUAACCCAGAGCCUGCAUUCAAUACUGGCGGGCUAGAGUUCUGGAGGGGAUAGGCGGAAUUCCUGGUGUAGCGGUGAAAUGCGUAGAUAUCAGGAGGAACGCCGGUGGCGAAGGCGGCUAGUCUGGACAGAGUCUGACGCUGAGGCGCGAAAGCUAGGGGAGCAA